CCCUUAGAUGUCCUGGGCUGCACGCGCGCUACACUGAUGUGUCCAGUAAGCACCUAACCUAUUCCGAGAGGAGCGGGUAACCUUAGCAAAGCACAUCGUGAUGGGGAUAGAUUAUUGCAAUUAUUAGUCUUGGACGAGGAAUUCCUAGUAAGCACAAGUCAUCAGCUUGUGUUGAUUACGUCCCUGCCCUUUGUACACACCGCCCGUCGCACCUACCGAUUGAAUGGUCCGGUGAAAUCUUCGGAUUGAGACUUUGAUUUCUUCACGGAAAACGCUGUUUUAAAAAGUUGAUUAAACCUUACCAUUUAGAGGAAGGUGAAGUCGUAACA
rnacentral:rRNA from 1 species